GACGAACGCUGGCGGCGUGCUUAACACAUGCAAGUCGAACGGAAAGGCCCUGCUUUUGUGGGGUGCUCGAGUGGCGAACGGGUGAGUAACACGUGAGUAACCUGCCCUUGACUUUGGGAUAACUUCAGGAAACUGGGGCUAAUACCGGAUAGGAGCUCCUGCUGCAUGGUGGGGGUUGGAAAGUUUCGGCGGUUGGGGAUGGACUCGCGGCUUAUCAGCUUGUUGGUGGGGUAGUGGCUUACCAAGGCUUUGACGGGUAGCCGGCCUGAGAGGGUGACCGGCCACCUUGGGACUGCGAUACGGCCCAGACUCCUACGGGAGGCAGCAGUGGGGAAUAUUGCACAAUGGGCGGAAGCCUGAUGCAGCAACGCCGCGUGCGUGAUGACGGCCUUCGGGUUGUAAACCGCUUUCGCCUGUGACGAAGCGUGAGUGACGGUAAUGGGUAAAGAAGCACCGGCUAACUACGUG
rnacentral:rRNA from 1 species